rnacentral:rRNA from 1 species
AAAGUCAAUUAUGAAUGUAAUUGAUCUGACUGCCGUGCGUGAUGGUAUUCUCUCAUGUGUUUGAUGGACUUUAUUUGUAACCAAACGCUCGAUGUUUUUUUACAUCUGUGGCGUCAAUGUUAGCCUCCCAUCCGACCCGUCUUGAAACACGGACCAAGGAGUUCAGUAGGCACGCGAGUCGUUGACGUUGUGCAUUGAACAGUCGAAGGCGUAAUGAAAGUGUGCAAGAAAGUGAAUUGUACAUUUUUUUGUACUGUUUGCUUUCAGCAUGAUCGUCCUUUGUUUUGUUUGGGUGCUGCUUGAAUUUUUUCGGGCCACCUUUCUUAAUUUGGGGACGCGCAGUGUGGUGCCGUUGAAUAGUCGCACUGUUUCUCCUUCUCUUCGGGGUUGGAGGGACAAUUGUCGAUCAGUCGGUUUCGGAGCGUGCACACUGGUACCCGAAAGAAGGAAACUCUGGUGGAAGUUCGUAGCGGUGUUGACGUGCAAAUCACUCGUCUGACUUGAGUGUAGGGGCGAAAGACUAAUCGAACCAUCUAGUUGCUGGUUCCUUCCGAAGUUUCCCUCAGGAUAGCUGGCAUUUGUGUGUAACAAUUUUAUCCGGUAGAGCGAAUGAUUAGAGGUGUUGGGAACGCAAUGUUCUCAGCCUAUUCUCAAACUUCGAAUGGGUAAGCAAGGCGAUUUGCUUUGAUCUUUUUAUGAAAUCGCCCCUCCAAUUUGUUGAAGAAUGUAUAAAUGCCUAGUGGGCCAAUUUUGGUAAGCAGAACUGGCGAUGUGGAAUGAACCAAAAGUCAGGUUAAGGUGCCAGACAUUGGCGCUCAUGAAAUACCAGAAAAGGUGUUGGUCGAUAUAGACAGCAGGACGGUGGCCAUGGAAGUCGGAAUCCGCCAAGGAGUGUGUAACAACUCACCUGCCGAAUCGACUAGCCCUGAAAAUGGAUAGCGUUUGAGCGCCAGGCCCAUACCUGACCGUCUCAGCUACGCACUUUUGCUGGUUUCUCCGGUGAAGGUGUAAUGAACGUUGAGACGGGUAGGAAGGUCGCGACAGUGUUGCUUUGAAGAGUUUUGAGCGUGAGCUCGCUCGGAGCCGCUGUUGGUGCAGAUCUUGGUGGUAGUAGCAAAUAUUCAAGUGAGAACCUUGAAGGCUGAAGUGGAGCAAGGUUCCAUGUGAACAGCAGUUGGACAUGGGUCAGUCGAUCCUAAGAAAACGGCGAAAGCUUGUUCGAAUUUACGACAUAAAAUUUAAAACUGUGUAUGCAAAAGAAAGUAGUGUAGUGUUGGUAGCAGCAGCAGCAGUUGUGGUAGUGGUGGUGGUGGUGGUGGUGGUGGUGUGCCGCCGCCGCCGCCGCCGAAACUACUUUUUGCUGCUGUUGCGUUGCUACAAUCUUGGUGUUUUUGUUCUGUGCAGUUGUCGUAUGUUUUCGAAAGGGAAUCCGGUUGAUAUUCCGGAACCGAGUAACGGAGACAAAGAGUAGCGCUUUAAUCUCUUUCGGGUUGGCGUUCAACUCAAUCGCGCGGUAACGCAAGCGAACUCGGAAAAUGACCGUCGUGAGUUUCGAAAAGAGUUUUCUUUUCUUUUUAAGGGACGCAUUCCCUGGAACCGGGUUGUCCGGAGAUAGGGAUUCUGGUAUCCAUAAAACGCCGACUCUUUCACGGUGUUCGGAGCGCUCUCGUCGGUACGUGAAAAUCCGAGCGACGCCUGGUAAAUCUCGUACUUGGUCGUACUGAUAUCCGCAGCAGGUCUCCAAGGUGAAUAGCCUCUGGCCGAUAGAAUAAUGUAGGUAAGGGAAGUCGGCAAAACGGAUCCGUAACUUCGGAACAAGGAUUGGCUCUAAGGGCUGGGCCGAUCGGGCUGAGGUUUCAAGCGUGCAGUGUAUGCUUGGCUGAGUUGUGUUGAGGAUUGAUUCGCUUGGUGCCGUUUGUUGAACCAAUCGGCUAUCCAGGUGGUCAUGUCUGAAGCAAAGCUGGCCGACAGACCGGCACGUGCAGAACCUGAGCUGCGCGGCUGUCAGUUCAUUUGUACAGACCGUUUCGGUCGGCAUUCAACAGCCAACUUAGAACUGGCACGGACACAAGGAAUCUGACUGUAUAAUUAAAACAAAGCAUUGCGAUGGCCGAUGAUCGGUGUUGACGCAAUGUGAUUUCUGCCCAGUGCUCUGAAUGUCAAAGUAGCCAAAUGCCUAGUCAUUUAAUUAGUGACGCGUAUGAAUGGAUCAACAAGAUUCCUUCUGUCCCUAUCUACUAUCUAGCGAAACCACAGCCAAGGGAACGGGCUUGGCAAAAUCAGCGGGGAAAGAAGACCCUGUUGAGCUUGACUCUAGUCUGACUCUGUGAAGAGACAUGAAAGGUGUAGCAUAGGUGGGAGGCUGCAGUAGGGCGCUGUUUGGUGUCUCUGUGGUCGCCAAUGAAAUACCACUACUUUGAUCGUUUCUUUACUUAUUCGGUAAAGCGAAAAAAUUGUGGCCAAUUUGGCGGUCUGUCCGCUGUUGGUCAUUGUUUUAAUGUUGGAUUGAAGCUUUGUUUAUAGCCGUCGCUUUGCGUCGCCGUUUGAUGCAUUGGCUGGGUGCGUUUUUGCGCGCGCGCGGUAAUGUUGUCAGCGGAUGAUCGGCGAUUGGUUUGAAGUGAUUCGCUCCGGAAACAGUGUCAGACGGGGAGUUUGACUGGGGCGGUACAUCUGUUAAACGAUAACGCAGGUGUCCUAAGGUAAGCUCAGCGAGGACAGAAACCUCGCCUAGAGUAAACGGGCACAAGCUUACUUGAUUUUGAUUUCCAGUACGAAUAAAAACCGCGAAAGCGUGGCCUAUCGAUCCUUUUGAUUGUGUAGAUUUCAUGCAAGAGGUGUCAGAAAAGUUACCACAGGGAUAACUGGCUUGUGGCAGCCAAGCGUCCAUAGCGACGUUGCUUUUUGAUCCUUCGAUGUCGGCUCUUCCUAUCAUUGCGAAGCAGAAUUCGCCAAGCGUUGGAUUGUUCACCCACCAAUAGGGAACGUGAGCUGGGUUUAGACCGUCGUGAGACAGGUUAGUUUUACCCUACUGAUGACAAGUCGUUGCGAUAGUAAUCCUGCUCAGUACGAGAGGAACCGCGGGAUCAGACAUUUGGUUCAUGCGCUCGGCUGAAAGGCCGGUGGCGCGAAGCUAGCAUCUGCAAGAUUAUGACUGAACGCCUCUAAGUCAGAAUCUUUUCUAGUCAUUGG